AAUUUGAAAUCUGGCCCUUUCGGGGUCCGAGUUGUAAUUUGUAGAGAGUGCUUCGGGUGAGACUGCGGUCUAAGUCCAUUGGAACAUGGCGUCCCAGAGGGUGAGAAUCCCGUAUGUGACCGCGGCUCGAACCCAUGUGAAGCCUCUUCGACGAGUCGAGUUGUUUGGGAAUGCAGCUCUAAAUGGGUGGUAAAUUUCAUCUAAAGCUAAAUACUGGCUGGAGACCGAUAGCGCACAAGUAGAGUGAUCGAAAGAUGAAAAGCACUUUGGAAAGAGGGUUAAACAGUACGUGAAAUUGUUGAAAGGGAAGCGCUGGCAACCAGACCUGUCCGUAGGCGAUCACCCGUUGUUCUCAGCGGUGCACUCGUUCUGCGAUCAGGCCAGCAUCGGUUCGGGCGGGCGGAUAAAGGUCUUGGGAAUGUAGCUCCCUUUCGGGGGAGUCUUAUAGCCCUCGAUGCAAUGCGCCCAGCCGGGACCGAGGACCGCGCUUCGGCUAGGAUGCUGGCGUAAUGGUUGUCAGCGACCC
rnacentral:rRNA from 1 species